ensembl:snRNA U6 U6 spliceosomal RNA
ACUCUCCUGGCGUCAGCAGUACAUACUAAAAUUCAAAUAAUAUGGGGAAAGUUAGUAUGGCCCCUCAGCAAGGAGAACACACAAAUUCACAAAGCAUUCCAUGUUUUA